CUUUUUAAGUACGAGUCAUUCGAAUUGGACCAGUUCGAAAUCAAAACCCUGAGUAUAGUAUAUACAGUCCCGCUUAGUUUUCUGCCCUUUUCACUCUUGCCACAACUGCGACGAUCAUCUCCAACAAUUAUUGAUCUUCAGAAAUGCAAUGCAACCCUCAUCGGAAUCAAACCCAGGCUUCAAACUCGGCCAGCGAGUCCACUCCGCCGGUGACCCCCGCCGAAUCGGAACAGUGAGGUACUUGGGACCCGUUGAAGGCUACUCGGGCACAUGGGUCGGAGUCGAUUGGGACAACAGAGACGGCAAGCAUGAUGGGUCCGUCAAUGGGGUCAACUACUUCCACGCAAGGUCUGAAACAUCUGGCUCUUUCGUUCGACCCCACAAUCUCAGCUCUGGGAUUUCAUUGCUGCAAGCUCUUGAGCUCAGAUAUCGAGGCCAAACCACUCAAGAAGAAGAGGAUGAAAUGUAUGUACUUUCUGCGAGCAACAAGCGUGUGAGUGUUCAACUUGUUGGUAAAGACAAGAUUCAAGACAAGCUGAGUUGUUUCGAAGAGUUGACUAGUGCAUCAACAUCUUACUUGGGUGUUAGCUCUCCUGGAGACCCAUCUGAAAUUGGUGCUGUUGUGCCAAAUUUGAAGGAGCUUGACUUGACUGGAAAUCUAAUUUCAGAGUGGAAGGAUGUUGGCAUGAUCUGUGAACAGCUGCCUGAUCUUGUUGCCCUCAAUUUAUCUUACAAUUUAAUGUCACAUGAUAUUGUUGGGUUGCCGCAUUUGAAAAGCAUCCGUAUUUUAGUAUUAAACAAUGUUGGCAUAAAUUGGACACAGGUAGAAGUACUCAAACAUUCAUUGCCAGCAAUUGAGGAACUACAUCUUAUGGCGAAUCAUAUAAGCACAAUAGAGCCUGCAUCUUCUUCAACAGUUCAGGGAUUUGAUUAUUUGCGGCUACUGAAUUUGGACGACAAUUGUAUAACUGAUUGGAAUGAAAUCUUGAAACUUUCACAGCUACCAAGCUUGGAGCAGUUGCAUUUGGACAAUAACAAUUUGAACCAUGUCUUUUAUCCUGAUGUUGGCAUGAUGCUUGAGCUGCUCAAUGGUCAUGAGUCGCAUGAAAAAGGGCAUAAGCCAUUUCAAAAUUUGCGUUGCCUUCUUCUUGGAGGCAAUACCAUUGAGGACCCUACUUCUAUUGAUGCACUGAACUCAUUCCCACAAUUGGUGGAUGUCAGACUUUCUGGUAAUCCAGUGGCUGAUCCAGGACAGGGUGGUAUCCCAAGAUUUGUUUUGGUUGCCCGCUUAGGAAAAGUUGAAAUGUUGAAUGGGAGUGAGGUUACUUCUCGUGAAAGAAAAGAGUCCGAAAUUCGGUAUGUCCGGUUAGUUAUGUCAAAGCAAGGAAAUAUUCAAGAAAUCAAGCUGCUUCAUCCAAGGUUUGCCGAGCUCAAGGCUUUUCAUGGAAUUGAGGACGAAAAGCCAUUGGUGGGAGCAGCAGGCCCUCAAAAGAUGGCUACAGGGCUUCUAUCUGUUACUCUGAAAUGCGUGGGAGCAUCAAUAGGUGAGAAGCCCUCUUUGGUGAAGAAACUUCCAGGCACCACAACGGUUGGUAAGCUAAAAAUUCUUUGUGUAAGCUUUUUCAAGCUGAAGUCUAUGAAGUUGAAAUUGUUUCUUCAAGAAGAGGGUUCUCCUUUGCCAAUGUUGCUAGAUGAUGAAAUGCAGAGUUUGACAGACCUUGGGAUUGGCAAUGAAUCAACCAUUCUUGUGGAUGAAGAGAGUUAAGAGAAUCCAAAGACUAGGGACAUGUCUGUUGCAAAUUUUAAGGUGUGUGUGCAGGUUUUCUGGUGGCAUCAGCUAACAAGAUGAGAUUUUAGCAUCUCCAUAAGCUAGAUAGUCACUGCCAAUCUGUUUUCUGAAACAAUUUCAAACUACAUUUACUCUCACUCAAUGAGACAGCAAGGUUGCCAGGAAGAAGUGACUUGAAUUCAUUUACAUUCGGCCACUGUUGUCCUGACUUCGUAGUUCAUACUUUCGCAUUAAGACGUCUUGAAUUUCCAAAGAAGCAGGUCAAAAGUAUGUGGAGCAACUGGUGUUCAAGCAUCACACGUUUGUAAAACUGUAUCAAGGCGCUCGUUCUUUUGAAUUAGGAUGCCUUGAUCCUGAGUACCUAAGAUGAAUUUUCCCCUUGGUUUUAAAGUCAGCGAGGUUACAAAAGCACUUGUAGACAAAAUUAAGAUAAUUUUUCCUGUUGGAUAAUUUGGGAACAUGGCAAUGAGAUAAUUUGCGAUAGUUUGUUGGCUAA